rnacentral:rRNA from 1 species
UACCAGCACCCCGAGUGGUCGGGACGAUUAUUGGGCCUAAAGCAUCCGUAGCCGGCCUUACAAGUCCUCCGUUAAAUCCAGCUGCUUAACAGAUGGGCUGCGGAGGAUACUAUAAGACUAGGAGGCAGGAGAGGCAAGCGGUACUCAGUGGGUAGGGGUAAAAUCCGUUGAUCCAUUGAAGACCACCAGUGGCGAAGGCGGCUUGCCAGAAUGCGCUCGACGGUGAGGGAUGAAAGCUAGGGGAGCGAACGGG